CACUCUGUAAUUGUAAGAUAUUGCCAUAAUUUGCUCAAACAAAGGAAGCGUGUCCUUCCAGAUUCCCCAUCAUUGGGAACAGCUACAGGCUUUUGACCGAGGAAUGACGCUGCAUAGAGUUGCAAUUUUUCAAAGACUGGACGAUGGCCGGCCGAGGUUGAGGAGCGUCCUGUGGAGUUUUCGGUUUUGGCGCUGGGCGGGCAUGGAAUAUGAACGUUGGUGACGAUGGCACUACCUAACAUUGAUGCAUUAAAAUAAAUUGAUGCGCUUCUCAUCGUUGAUAAA